rnacentral:rRNA from 1 species
UACGAAGGGGGCUAGCGUUGCUCGGAAUGACUGGGCGUAAAGGGCGCGUAGGCGGAUGGCACAGUCAGAUGUGAAAUUCCUGGGCUUAACCUGGGGGCUGCAUUUGAUACGUGUGAUCUGGAGUGAGGAAGAGGGUUGUGGAAUUCCCAGUGUAGAGGUGAAAUUCGUGGAUAUUGGGAAGAACACCGGUGGCGAAGGCGGCGACCUGGUCCUUAACUGACGCUGAGGCGCGAAAGCGUGGGGAGCAAACAGG